CAUGGAUGGCUGUUGGCGGCUGGAGACCUCACUGACGGUGUCAUCCACUCAUCUCUUCCUUCUCAAUCUAUCGUCUCUUCUUCUCCAACCGUCUCCACUUCCUUCCGGGUAUGAGCUAUCGCUGCCGCCGCCCCCUCCUGCCAACCAGCGGUGCGUGAGGGAGCAAAGAAGAGCAAGCAAACACCAGGGCGGAGAAGCAAAUGAGUAGGCGGUUGUACUACCGACCAGUCUCUAAU